AGCCCUCGCGCCUCCCCCUGACCGCCGCCCGUGCGUGGCCGGUCCAAUCCACCACCACGCCGCACGCGGCUGCUCAGAGAGGCCGAGGCCGAGAUGCCGGCCUCACCGGCGUCACCGCCGCCUCCUCCCUCCCACCCCGCGCGCAACACCUCGCACUCGAUCCACCCAUCCCGAUGCCUCGGCCUCGGCGCGCCUUUACCCUCCUCAUUUUCGCCCUUCGUCCCCGCGGCAGACGAAGACGGCGCAUCUCGAGCGCGUUCCCUGGCGGGUGUGCCGGCGGGGACGCAGAUGGUGCUUCUGAGGAAGAGGAACGGGGCGGAGGACGCGCCGCUGAUGCUGCCAGUCCUGGAUGGGGAUCUCCGAGCCAGUCUUGCUCCAGUUCUGCUUCGACAGUACUUCACCUUGACUUGCUGAUUGUUAUGGGGAGGUUCUAUGUGGAAGUGGCUUACUUGCAUCUUCUGUAGGAUACUGUCCAAGAUCAAAGGAAAUUUCAGUUAUAUAGAGAGCAAGGAGACCCCUGCAAACUUAUACUGCUUUGGGUGGUGUGCACUUGGGAUACUGUUAAACCCAGUAGGGAUUGGGGAGGGCCUUCAAAGUUUGUGUGAAGGAGGCACACCACCAAGGUUUCUGAUCUGAUGGUUGGCAGGAAAUAGUUGAUGAUUUCAAGUAAGUGGAUGAAGCUCUCCUUGAAGUGAUCGUGUCUGCAGAGUGGCCGUUGAUCUGAAGGAUUGACUUGUUGACACCACCAAUGUGUACUACGCAGGUUGAUCUGAAGGUUUGACUUAUUGUUAGGUAGAAGUUCAAAGUUUUGAUACUUGCACCUGCAUUAGCUUGAAUCCUUCAGAAUUAGUGUCUUUAUAGAGAUACAAGCUGCACAAGCCUUUCCAUGGUCCACAGUAAUUUCUCCCUGAACCCAAGCAAGCCUCUAAAUUAGAAUAGAAAGUUGCAUAAGCAACAAACUUCUAAAUUCCUCUAUCUUGUAUCACAAAUAGUGGGUACAUGUACAAUACCGUUGGACCUCAUUUUUUUAUAGAAAAACCACUCGUGACCCUGCUUUAUUUGAUUGAUUUGUAAGAGUUCAGACUAGAAGACUUAUAGAGAGGUAUACUGGGAUUACCAAUUUUAGUUAUGAAACAUAUCAAAGUAGAAACCAGGAAUACACAACUCCAUGGUCCACUCACUCAAAACCACAGAAAAGGAUUUGCCUUACACCACAUCAGCCAUUUUCCUUUAGCCUGCUACCUAUCCCUUCCACAAUCAUUGCUAGUGAGACUUUUGUUUUUGUUCAAAAUUAAAAAAUCAACUCAGAAUUUUGUUGCGGCUUUAACAUUUAUACCAUGCGAGAAUUAAUAUCCGCAGAAGAAUUUCAAUUAUCAGUCUAGAAUUACCUCAUAAAGUGCUGGAUUAUUAUCUAACAAUCGUACAUCAACCAAUGACGAGACGUCAAAAUCCGGACACACCCAUUACAUCAACCAAGUGGGCAGUACAUAGUUUUGUUAUCCGUUGCAAUGCACGAGUUCUUCAAGUAUUUGUCUCAUUAGGGCUUCUGUAUACAUGUCUUGAACAAGAUAGUCUAUUGGAGAAGAAGGUUUCCUGAAUGCAAUUUGGUGGUUCCUUCAUUGCCAUCUCGGCCUACUGCUUCUUCUCAUGUCCUCCCUCUUCUUUCUAUUACCACCACCUCUCUUGUCUGCAGCUGCACCACGUCGCCUCCUGAUGUCGGCGUCGCCGCUGCUACCGGUCCCCGGAUCAGGGUGUUGAUCACCACUUUCCAUUUCCAUGGAGCUCGUGCUCGUUGUGUCCGUAGCACUCUGGUCACUGAGCGCAUGGAUAGGGUUCAUCUUGUCCAGCAAAAGUUCUGGCAAGGUACACUUGUCAUCGUCAUCUUCAUCUUCGUGUGAAUAACAUGGAGUUGCUUCCACCACAGCGUCUGAGCCUCCUGUCCCGCCCAUUCCAUCACCAUGGACAUCUACGGGUAUGUUCUCUGCCGGCAACUUAUGCUUUUCUGAAUCAAGGAAUCCAGUGCUUGUCAUCAAUGGAUUCCCCGGCAACACACCAUCUUCGGUGUUGCCCUCAGCUGCUCCACCAUCACUCUCGAUGCUCAUGAAUUCAUCGGUGGACUUCUCAUCGCAGCCGGUUUCACCCAGGGCAUGUUUAUCGCUCGAAGUAUCCGGUGUGUCGUUCUGAUCUAAACUGGUGACAUUAUCAUCGGUCUCCUCAUCUCUUCCUUGAGCAUUCCUUCCCACAUCAACUCCUCCAACGUUGAACACAUCUUCACCACUUUGAACAGUUGCUUCUUUUUCUUGUGAACUGGAGCUAUCUACUCCACCUCCCACCAGCGCUUGGACUGCCCGUUUCGCGGCAUUGGUAGCCCAUGCCUCUUCAUGGAUGGUAUCACUGUUGCAUAUGCAGCAUAGACAUAAAUAAACAAUGUGUAAUUUGACCGCUGAGAUAUUUAGGGAAGUGAGCUCUGAACUGUUAAUUGUUACCUCUUCACACUGGGUUCCAAAGAUGAUAUUUUCUC